rnacentral:rRNA from 1 species
GACGAACGCUGGCGGCGUGGAUUAGGCAUGCAAGUCGAACGGUAGGAUACCUUCGGGUAUCUGAGAGUGGCGAACGGGUGAGUAACACGUAGGUGAUCUACCCUCAAGAUUGGGACAACCCAGGGAAACUUGGGCUAAUACCGGAUGAAAGCAGCAGUGAUGUUGUUUGAAAGGUGGCGUAAGCUGCCGUUUGGGGAUGAGCCUGCGCUCUAUUAGUUAGUUGGCGGGGUAAAGGCCCACCAAGGCGAUGAUAGAUAGGCGGCCUUAACGGGUGGUCGCCCACACUGGGAUUGAGAUACGGCCCAGACUCCUACGGGAGCAGCAGUCGAGAAUAGUCUACAAUGGCCGAAAGGCUGAUAGUGCGACGCCGCGUGAACGAAGAAGCCCUUCGGGGUGUAAAGUUCUUUUAUAUGUGAGCAGUGCUUUCAUGUGAACAGCAUGGGGAAGAGAUAUUAGCAUAUGAAUAAGCAACGGCUAACUCCGUGCCAGCAC